GUGAGGAAUUUUGCGCAAUGGGGGCAACCCUGACGCAGCGACGCCGCGUGGAGGACGAAGUCUUUCGGGAUGUAAACUCCUGUCAGUGGGGACGAUAAUGACGGUACCCACAGAGGAAGCACCGGCUAACUCCGUGCCAGCAGCCGCGGUAAGACGGAGGGUGCAAGCGUUGUUCGGAAUUACUGGGCGUAAAGCGUAUGUAGGCGGCAAGUUAAGUUAAAUGUUAAAGCCCACGGCUCAACCGAGGAGAUGCAUUGAAUACUGGCUAGCUAGAAGGUGUUAGAGGAAGACGGAAUUCCCAGUGUAGCGGUGAAAUGCGUAGAUAUUGGGAGGAACAUCGGUAGCGAAAGCGGUCUUCUGGGACAUACCUGGCGCUGAGGUACGAAAGCGUGGGGAGCAAACGGGAUUAGAAACCCCAGUAGUCC
rnacentral:rRNA from 1 species